rnacentral:rRNA from 1 species
CUAGCGUUGCUCGGAAUCACUGGGCGUAAAGGGCGCGUAGGCGGCCGAUUAAGUCGGGGGUGAAAGCCUGUGGCUCAACCACAGAAUUGCCUUCGAUACUGGUUGGCUUGAGACCGGAAGAGGACAGCGGAACUGCGAGUGUAGAGGUGAAAUUCGUAGAUAUUCGCAAGAACACCAGUGGCGAAGGCGGCUGUCUGGUCCGGUUCUGACGCUGAGGCGCGAAAGCGUGGGGAGCAAACAGGAUUAGAUACCCUGGUAGUCCACGCCGUAAACGAUG